rnacentral:rRNA from 1 species
GGGUCAGUAGGUUGGUCGUGCCACCGGUACGUACUGGUCUCACUGAUUCCUCCUUCCUGAAGAACCGUAAUGCCAUUAAUUUGGUGUUGCGGGGAAACAGGACUGUUACCUUGAAAAAAUUAGAGUGUAUAAAGCAAGCUAACGCUUGAAUACAUUAGCAUGGAAUAAUGAAAUAGGACGAUCGAUCCUAUUUUGUUGGUUUCUAGGAUUGACGUA